rnacentral:lncRNA from 1 species
UUUUUUGUUUUUUGUUUUGAGACAGAGUCUUGCUCUGUUGACCGGGCUUGAGUGCAGUGGCGCGAUCUCGGCUCACUGCAACCUCUGUCAUCCAAGUUCGAGCAAUUCUCCUACCUCAGUCUCCCAAGAAGCUGGGAUUACAGGCAUGUACCAGCAUGCCCAGCUAAUUUUGUAUUUUUAGUUUCACCAUGUUGGCCAGGCUGGUCUUGAACUCCCAACCUCAGGCGAUCCAACCACCCCAGCUUCCCAAAGUGAAAAGAUUACAGGCGUGAGCCACCGCAUCUGGCCUGUCUCUUUGUUUUCGUAAUGGUGUCUUUCAAUGAGGAAGAGUUUUAAAUGUUAAUAAAGUCCAAUUUAUCAAGUUAGUACAAAAAUUCCGUGCUUUUACUUGUUCUAUAUAGGAGAUCCUUGCCUUCUAGCAAGUCACAAAGACUUUCCUCUGUUUUCUUCCAAGAAUUUUAAUAGUAAUUUUAGCUUUUGUAUUUAGUUCCAUGCAGGUCUGUGAUUCAAUUAGAGUUAACUUCUGAUUGAUGUCCAUUUUUUUUCCAUAUGGGUACCCUAACCCUAACUUAUGUGGAUAUAUAAUAAACAUCUCAAAUAUCAAAUGUCCAAAAUUAAACUCCAAUUUUCAUUCCUCUCUAUCUCUAAUAAGCCACUUAAUCCUUCCACAAGUCCUGCUGCAGCCACUGCUCCCUCUCUGACCUCACCCCCUAGUACCAACCCCACUCUGCUCAAGGUCCCCACGGUCUCCUGCUGUGCUUCAAGCCCACCAGGCCCUCUGACCUCAGGGCCUGUGCACUACACACCAUUCCCCCAGGAAUUUGCCUGGCUCGCUUUCUGACUUCUUCGUAUUUUGCCCAAAUGCCCAUUUUCAGUGAGAUCGUCACUGAUACCCUUAUUGGUAACAGCAAUAUCCACACCUAGUAUAACCUAUUUCCUUUCACGUUUAUUUUUUUAACAUAGCACUUAUUAUUUUCCUAGACACAAUAUGGUUGACUCAUUUAAAAACAGAUUGUCUUCCAUAAGUAGUACACAAGCUCCACAAGAGCAGGGAUUUGGGUCUGUUUUAUUCUUGACUGUCUCCCUAGCCCCAAGAGCAGUGCCUAACCUAGCUGGUAUUCAAUAAACAUGCACUGAAUGAACGAACAGUUCUGAUUCUUCGGUGGUUCCUGCUCUAGACCUCCUGUAAACGUCCUGAGCUUUGGGGCCUGGCUACAUCUAGCCUGGGAGGCGGAGAUGGACCCACCCGGGUCUGAAGUGGCAGAGAAGCAUCUAAUGGGGCAGGAUCCUCCCGCUAGGGGCUGCCUGUCACCCAGAGACUGACCUUCCUCCUCCAGGUCUCAUUAAAACACUCUGUUAGACCAA